rnacentral:lncRNA from 1 species
UGCUCUGGUUUUUUAAAGGAUGACUUUCAUUUCUCAGUUCUUUCUACAGAGGGAAACGGAUGAGGAGGACAGUGACGUGUAAUGGCAACAUUAUUCUUCGGAAAACAGAAAUUACCAAGGUUCCCUGAGGAUGUCAGACUUGCAGUGAAAAGAGAUCCGGAAUGAAGCAGAUUGAAGAUAUGAUGAAAACCCAAAUCUCUGUCCUGUGGGCUAACGCAAC